UACGGGGGGAGCAAGCGUUGUUCGGAUUUACUGGGCGUAAAGGGCGCGUAGGCGGCCUCCGCAAGUCAGUUGUGAAAUCUCCGAGCUUAACUCGGAAAGGUCAACUGAUACUGCGGGGCUAGAGUGCGGAAGGGGCAACUGGAAUUCUUGGUGUAGCGGUGAAAUGCGUAGAUAUCAAGAGGAACACCUGCGGCGAAGGCGGGUUGCUGGGCCGAUACUGACGCUGAGGCGCGACAGCGUGGGGAGCAAACAGG
rnacentral:rRNA from 1 species